AUUGAACGCUGGCGGCAGGCCUAACACAUGCAAGUCGAACGAGUGGCGGACGGGUGAGUAAUGUCUGGGACACUGCCCGAUGGAGGGGGAUCACUACUGGAAACGGUAGCUAAUACCGCAUACCCUCGGAUCUGCCCAGAUGGGCUUAGCCAGUAGGUGGGGUAACGGCUCACCUAGGCGCCGAUCACUAGCUGGUCUGCGAGGAUGACUAGCCAGACUGGAACUGAGACACGGCCCAGAGUCCUACGGGAGGCAGGAGUGGGGAAAAUUGCACAAUGGGGGAAAGCCUGAGGCAGCCAUGCCGCGUGUAUGAAGAAGGCCUUCGGGUUGUAAAGUACUUUCAGCGAGGAGGCGUUACUCGCAGAAGAAGCACCGGCUAACUCCGUGCCAGCAGCCGCGGUAAUUC
rnacentral:rRNA from 1 species